GCCUGGGUGUCUCAGUCGGUUAAGUGUCUGACUUCAGCUCAGAUCAUGAUCUCACCAUUCAUGAGUUCGAGCCCCAUGUCAGGCU
rnacentral:tRNA from 1 species